CCAAUAGCGUAUAUUAAAGUUGUUGCAGUUAAAAAGCUCGUAGUUGAAUUUCGAGAUCAACAUGUCGGUCGUGCCUCCGGUACGUACUGGUAUCGUUGAUUUCUACCUUCUGACGAACCAUGAUGUCAUUAAUCUGGUGUCAUGGGGAAUCAGGACUGUUACUUUGAAAAAAUUAGAGUGUUUAAAGCAGGCACACGCGUGAAUACAUUAUCAUGGAAUAAUGAAAUAGGACGUUUGACCCUAUUUUGUUGGUUUCUAGGAUCGACGUAAUGAUUAAUAGGGAUAGUUGGGGGAAUUAGUAUUCAAUUGUCAGAGGUGAAAUUCUUGGAUUUAUUGAAGACUAACUACUGCGAAAGCAUUUGCCAAGGAUGUUUUCAUUAAUCAAGAACGAAAGUUAGGGGAUCGAAGACGAUCAGAUACCGUCGUAGUCUUAACCAUAAACUAUGCCGACUAGGGAUCGGAUGAUGUUAAUUUUUUAAUGACUCAUUCGGCGCCUUACG
rnacentral:rRNA from 1 species